GACAAGGGCAGCUUGAGAUCAGGAUUUGAGUAGUGGUGGUGUUAUACCUUCUGUACAUGGCCCAGUGGCAGAGUCGGUAUGAAAACCUGUCCCUUCAGAAUGCCAACCAGAAAGACAAUGCCAAAGGAAUUUUGUCACACCCAAGAUGGGCCAUUGAUGGAUUUAA